rnacentral:rRNA from 1 species
CAUUGUGUCUUCGAGUCGUUGAUUUCACACUGCCGAGAAAAGCCUCUAGAUAGAAAAUAGGUGCCCGUACCGCAAACCGACACAGGUAGUCAAGAUGAGAAUUCUAAGGUGAGCGAGCGAACUCUCGUUAAGGAACUCGGCAAAAUGACCCCGUAACUUCGGGAGAAGGGGUGCUCUUUAGGGUUAACGCCCAGAAGAGCCGCAGUGAAUAGGCCCAAGCGACUGUUUAUCAAAAACACAGGUCUCUGCUAAACCGUAAGGUGAUGUAUAGGGGCUGACGCCUGCCCGGUGCUGGAAGGUUAAGAGGAGUGGUUAGCUUCUGCGAAGCUACGAAUCGAAGCCCCAGUAAACGGCGGCCGUAACUAUAACGGUCCUAAGGUAGCGAAAUUCCUUGUCGGGUAAGUUCCGACCCGCACGAAAGGCGUAACGAUUUGGGCACUGUCUCAACGAGAGACUCGGUGAAAUCAUAGUACCUGUGAAGAUGCAGGUUACCCGCGACAGGACGGAAAGACCCCGUGGAGCUUUACUGUAGCCUGAUAUUGAAAUUCGGCACAGCUUGUACAGGAUAGGUAGGAGCCUUUGAAACGUGAGCGCUAGCUUACGUGGAGGCGCUGGUGGGAUACUACCCUAGCUGUGUUGGCUUUCUAACCCGCACCACUUAUCGUGGUGGGAGACAGUGUCAGGCGGGCAGUUUGACUGGGGCGGUCGCCUCCUAAAAGGUAACGGAGGCGCUCAAAGGUUCCCUCAGAAUGGUUGGAAAUCAUUCAUAGAGUGUAAAGGCAUAAGGGAGCUUGACUGCGAGACCUACAAGUCGAGCAGGGUCGAAAGACGGACUUAGUGAUCCGGUGGUUCCGCAUGGAAGGGCCAUCGCUCAACGGAUAAAAGCUACCCCGGGGAUAACAGGCUUAUCUCCCCCAAGAGUUCACAUCGACGGGGAGGUUUGGCACCUCGAUGUCGGCUCAUCGCAUCCUGGGGCUGUAGUCGGUCCCAAGGGUUGGGCUGUUCGCCCAUUAAAGCGGUACGCGAGCUGGGUUCAGAACGUCGUGAGACAGUUCGGUCCCUAUCCGUCGUGGGCGUAGGAAAUUUGAGAGGAGCUGUCCUUAGUACGAGAGGACCGGGAUGGACAUACCUCUGGUGUACCAGUUGUCGUGCCAACGGCAUAGCUGGGUAGCUAUGUGUGGACGGGAUAAGUGCUGAAAGCAUCUAAGCAUGAAGCCCCCCUCAAGAUGAGAUUUCCCAACUUCGGUUAUAAGAUCCCUCAAAGAUGAUGAGGUUAAUAGGUUCGAGGUGGAAGCAUGGUGACAUGUGGAGCUGACGAAUACUAAUCGAUCGAAGACUUAAUC